CGGGUGGUCGGCUCCCUGCUUGAGCAGGCACGGCCACGCGUGCAUUCCUUUUCAGUUGUGCGGCAAGGCUUGUAUCGUCUUGAUCGUAUAAGUGGGUUUCUUGUGUUGCAUACCUGAUCAAUGGCAUCGUUUUGAUCAAAAUGGUACCUUUUUCGUCUGACGAUGCACUUAUUGUGUUGUCGGAUGAACCGUGUAGCAUCCUCUUUGAUCCAUACAGUUGACGUGUACUCGUUGAUUGUUUGGCCCGUUGAGGGUGACUUGGUCUCUCGGAUAUGGAAGCCAAAGUGGGCAUGGGUUCGCCAGAUCCCUUUAUUGCCCUCAUUGAGUGUUCUCGCUUCUCUUACACGACUGCCUUUCACGUAUGGCACGUCCCAGCGUGUUUGGCUAUGUCGAAGAGGAAU
rnacentral:misc_RNA from 1 species